GGGACUGAUUUAUCUCUCCUUCUCCUUUUGCUUAGGAAGAGAUAUUUUAAAGAGUUGGAAGGUAGAUUCACUAUUAUCUCCUCUCCUCUGCUACUUCAAUUAUCAUUCAGCAAGCAAGAACUAUGACAAGACAAAGGGUACGUUUCGUGGGCAACAGCAUAGGUUCCAAAGUCACUGAUAAGGCUUAUGUUGUCAAAGAUUGGGUGAGUAACAUCAGCUUAAGGUACAAUGGAGACCGCAUCGUUGGCUUAGACUGCAAAUGGAAGGCAAACACAUGUAAAGAAAUGAACAACAAACCUGCUACCUUGCAGCUUUGUGUCAAUAACAAGUGUAUCAUACUCCAACUUUUCUACAUGGAGAACAUUCCCGAGUCCUUGAAGGAUUUCCUUAAUGAUCCUACUUUCACCUUAUUAACACAUAUAGAAUCGACCCCCUAUUGGAAACACAAUAUCUCAUGGAUCUCCUAUCUUUAGGAACCUAAAUCAUAUAUUCUCUGUGUCCCUUAUCCUUGGAAUGGAUCUCUUGUAAUCCAAUAUUCCAUAUAUGUAUAGUUGGCUAGGGUUACACAGUCACUGUGUAUAUAUAUUUAUAUUCUCAGAAUCAAUACAAUAUACUGAAAAUCAUAACAUUCCAA